UACGGAGGGUGCAAGCGUUAAUCGGAAUUACUGGGCGUAAAGCGCACGCAGGCGGUCUGUCAAGUCGGAUGUGAAAUCCCCGGGCUCAACCUGGGAACUGCAUCCGAAACUGGCAGGCUAGAGUCUUGUAGAGGGGGGUAGAAUUCCAGGUGUAGCGGUGAAAUGCGUAGAGAUCUGGAGGAAUACCGGUGGCGAAGGCGGCCCCCUGGACAAAGACUGACGCUCAGGUGCGAAAGCGUGGGGAGCAAACAGGAUUAGAUACCCUGGUAGUCCACGCCGUAAAAAAUGUCGACUUGGAGGUGGUGGCCUUGAGGCGUGGGUUCCGGAGCUAACGCGUUAAGUCGACCGCCUGGGGAGUACGGCCGCAAGGUUGAA
rnacentral:rRNA from 1 species